rnacentral:rRNA from 1 species
AUUGAACGCUGGCGGCAGGCCUCACACAUGCAAGUCGAACGAGUGGCGGACGGGUGAGUAAUUUCUGGGAAACUGCCUGAUGGAGGGGGCUAACUCCUGUAAACGGUAGCUAAUACCGCAUACCAUCAGCUGUGCCCAGCUGGGAUUAGCUUGUUGGUGGGGUAACGGCUCACCAAGGCGACGAUCCCUAGCUGGGCUGCGCGGCUGACCAGCCACACUGUAACUGAUACACGGUCCAGACUCCUACGGGAGGGAGCAGUGGGGAAUAUUGCACAAUGGGCGCAAGCCUGAUGCAGCCAUGCCGGGUGUAUGAAGAAGGCCUUCGGGUUGUAAAGUACUGUCAGCGGGGAGGCGUUACCCGCAGAAGAAGCACCGGCUAACUCCGUACCAGCAGCCGCGGUAAUAC